CCUACGGGGGGCAGCAGUGAGGAAUAUUGGUCAAUGGGCGCGAGCCUGAACCAGCCAAGUCGCGUGAAGGAUGACUGUCCUAUGGGUUGUAAACUUCUUUUAUAGAGGAGUAAAACGCGCCACGCGUGCCUUUCUGCGUGUACUUUAUGAAAAAGCAUCGGCUAACUCCGUGCCAGCAGCCGCGGUAAUACGGAGGAUCCGAGCGUUAUCCGGAUUUAUUGGGUUUAAAGGGUGCGCAGGUGGGAUGUUAAGUCAGCGGUGAAAUUUUGCGGCUCAACCGU
rnacentral:rRNA from 1 species